CAGCAGCCGCGGUAAAACGUAGGUGGCAAGCGUUGUCCGGAAUUAUUGGGCGUAAAGGGCUCGCAGGCGGUUUCUUAAGUCUGAUGUGAAAGCCCCCGGCUCAACCGGGGAGGGUCAUUGGAAACUGGGAAACUUGAGUGCAGAAGAGGAGAGUGGAAUUCCACGUGUAGCGGUGAAAUGCGUAGAGAUGUGGAGGAACACCAGUGGCGAAGGCGACUCUCCGGUCUGUAACUGACGCUGAGGAGCGAAAGCGUGGGGAGCGAACAGGAUUAGAGACCCGCGUAGUCCCUGUCUCUUAUAA
rnacentral:rRNA from 1 species